UAAUACGUAGGGUGCAAGCGUUGUCCGGAAUUAUUGGGCGUAAAGAGCUCGUAGGCGGCUUGUCGCGUCUGCUGUGAAAACUGGAGGCUCAACCUCCAGCCUGCAGUGGGUACGGGCAAGCUAGAGUGCGGUAGGGGAGAUUGGAAUUCCUGGUGUAGCGGUGGAAUGCGCAGAUAUCAGGAGGAACACCGAUGGCGAAGGCAGAUCUCUGGGCCGUUACUGACGCUGAGGAGCGAAAGCAUGGGGAGCGAACAGGAUUAGAUACCCUGGUAGUCCAUGCCGUAAACGUUGGGAACUAGAUGUAGGGCCUGUUCCACGGGUUCUGUGUCGUAGCUAACGCAUUAAGUUCCCCGCCUGGGGAGUACGGCCGCAAGGCUAAAACUUAAAUGAAUUGACGG
rnacentral:rRNA from 1 species